rnacentral:rRNA from 1 species
AUUGAACGCUGGCGGCAGGCCUAACACAUGCAAGUCGAACGGUAGCACAGAGAGCUUGCUCUCGGGUGACGAGUGGCGGACGGGUGAGUAAUGUCUGGGAAACUGCCCGAUGGAGGGGGAUAACUACUGGAAACGGUAGCUAAUACCGCAUAACGUCGCAAGACCAAAGAGGGGGACCUUCGGGCCUCUUGCCAUCGGAUGUGCCCAGAUGGGAUUAGCUUGUAGGUGAGGUAACGGCUCACCUAGGCGACGAUCCCUAGCUGGUCUGAGAGGAUGACCAGCCACACUGGAACUGAGACACGGUCCAGACUCCUACGGGAGGCAGCAGUGGGGAAUAUUGCACAAUGGGCGCAAGCCUGAUGCAGCCAUGCCGCGUGUAUGAAGAAGGCCUUCGGGUUGUAAAGUACUUUCAGCGGGGAGGAAGGGAGUGAGGUUAAUAACCUCAUUCAUUGACGUUACCCGCAGAAGAAGCACCGGCUAACUCCGUGCCAGCAGCCGCGGUAAUACGGAGGGUGCGAGCGUUAAUCGGAAUUACUGGGCGUAAAGCGCACGCAGGCGGUCUGUCAAGUCGGAUGUGAAAUCCCCGGGCUCAACCUGGGAACUGCAUUCGAAACUGGCAGGCUGGAGUCUUGUAGAGGGGGGUAGAAUUCCAGGUGUAGCGGUGAAAUGCGUAGAGAUCUGGAGGAAUACCGGUGGCGAAGGCGGCCCCCUGGACAAAGACUGACGCUCAGGUGCGAAAGCGUGGGGAGCAAACAGGAUUAGAUACCCUGGUAAUCCACGCUGUAAACGAUGUCGACUUGGAGGUUGUUCCCUUGAGGAGUGGCUUCCGGAGCUAACGCGUUAAGUCGACCGCCUGGGGAGUACGGCCGCAAGGUUAAAACUCAAAUGAAUUGACGGGGGCCCGCACAAGCGGUGGAGCAUGUGGUUUAAUUCGAUGCAACGCGAAGAACCUUACCUACUCUUGACAUCCAGAGAACUUAGCAGAGAUGCUUUGGUGCCUUCGGGAACUCUGAGACAGGUGCUGCAUGGCUGUCGUCAGCUCGUGUUGUGAAAUGUUGGGUUAAGUCCCGCAACGAGCGCAACCCUUAUCCUUUGUUGCCAGCGAUUCGGUCGGGAACUCAAAGGAGACUGCCAGUGAUAAACUGGAGGAAGGUGGGGAUGACGUCAUGUCAUCAUGGCCCUUACGAGUAGGGCUACACACGUGCUACAAUGGCAUAUACAAAGAGAAGCGACCUCGCGAGAGCAAGCGGACCUCAUAAAGUAUGUCGUAGUCCGGAUUGGAGUCUGCAACUCGACUCCAUGAAGUCGGAAUCGCUAGUAAUCGUGGAUCAGAAUGCCACGGUGAAUACGUUCCCGGGCCU